AUUAUUUGUUUAUAAGAUGGAGCAAUAAAAAGAAUAAUUGUUACUGAACGAAAAAAACGUAAAAACAAGAGGGAGAGUGAGAGAACAUUCUGUAGAUCAUACCCUACGAGUACUCGUUGAUGUCUAAGCUGACGUUAAGUAAUUCGAGAAAAAGAAAAAGAAAAGGAAAUAUGAUUUUAGUAGACCAUAGACAAUCGUCUUUGUACGGCUUCAGUAGCUUGAAUCAUCAUCAGAGAGUCACACUAGGGAACUUGCAUGACCCACGGCUAGGAUUUGUGGUGGUCUGCUCUGCAAGUCCAUUGAAGUGGCAAUUGGCACCUUGGCUCCUAAACUGAGCCCAGUACGAGCUAAAAGCAUAACUGGAAUGCCAAGUAACAGAUAUUGGCUCAUAACAUUCCCUCCCAGGAUCCAAGGCAUCACAUGUCCCAUUUCCUUGACUGCAAGCGUACUCUAAUGCCCUAUCCAACUCCAUCAAAUCAGCCCCUCUCGCUGCUAUGCACCACAACUUCUCCUUGUAAGGGUCGUUAUUAUUCGGCUUUGGCAAUGGUCCAUACUCGGAUUGUAGGUGAUUUCCUGUCAAGUCAAUGUCAUAUAUGGGUGCUCCAUUUGCAUUCAGUAACCCCCAAUGCCUCUCUGUUCCAGGACCAUCCUUCUGGUUCUCAUCAUAUAAUGAGAAGAUGAAUGUUGGUAUGACUUCACCUGGUCUCGCUGGUGUUCCUAUUGGUGGCUUAGCGGUCAUCCUUUUUACGAGAUUUUGAUUGUAAGUUGCUGCAUUGUAUAUGUUAGCUCCAGGUUGAUCUAUAUCCCCUGCAUUAGGCCAACCAGUUUCAGAUAUCGAUAACCUGACGUCAGGGAAGCCCAGUUUAGUCAUGGCAAAUAUGACAGAGUCAAGCAUUUGGUCUAGGAGGUUGGUGUAGACAAAGCCAGUAGCAGGGUCAGUAUAGUUCUCAUUUGAUUUGAACAAAGCCAUGUCGAUGCUUGUAUUGCUGGGGUUAGCAGACCAUGCGAAGUAAGGGUAAACGUCAAUGAAGAAGAAUGAUUUAGUUCCAUUCAGGAACUUAAGCAAUGGUACAAUCACUGUACUUGAAAUAUCGGACCUGAAAUUUCCCUUUGAUGGUGGAAAGGUUGUUUGGAGUAUGUCCAUGGCUAGUGGGGUACCAACUUUGAUAUUCUGAAUCUUCUGGGCUCUAAGAGAAUUCUUAAUUCUUCGCAUUGCAGGGACAAGAUUAAGCCAAAUAUUCUUUUCCUGGUCUGAAAAACAACUCAGAACUUCAUUGCCAACCAGAAUGAAUCGAAUCAUAGUAUCAGGAUAGUAUUGGAAGACAUUGUCUUGGACCCACUUAUUGGCUAUGGAUUGGUCAGAAGCAAUGCUGAUGAUUUCAUGAUUUGGGACCAUAAUAGAUACAUGGAUCUUGGUUCCUGAUAAGAGUUUCAAGAUUUCAGGAUUCGCAUCAUAGAGCUUUACACGACCUGCGUUCAUGGAUUGAAUAAUUUGAAUGGAUUGAAAUGCAGACGGCAAGUUGUUCCCUAGCCGGCCGUAGUUUAUCCCUAUCCUGCUUGAAAUUUCUGCAUUUGAGAAAGCAAGGAAGAAGAUAAAGAAGAAGAAAAAAAGCACAACAGAACCACCAUCACCACCAUCUGCCAUGUUUCCUGAACCUGAAAUAUGUUUUCUCAUUAAGGAGUUCUUGCUCAAAUCAAG
rnacentral:misc_RNA from 1 species